rnacentral:rRNA from 1 species
UACGUAGGUGGCAAGCGUUAUCCGGAAUUAUUGGGCGUAAAGAGCGCGCAGGUGGUUAAUUAAGUCUGAUGUGAAAGCCCACGGCUUAACCGUGGAGGGUCAUUGGAAACUGGUUGACUUGAGUGCAGAAGAGGGAAGUGGAAUUCCAUGUGUAGCGGUGAAAUGCGUAGAGAUAUGGAGGAACACCAGUGGCGAAGGCGGCUUCCUGGUCUGCAACUGACAUUGAGGCGCGAAAGCGUGGGGAGCAAACAGG